AUACGGAGGAUGCGAGCGUUAUCCGGAUUUAUUGGGUUUAAAGGGUGCGUAGGCGGAAAGGUAAGUCAGCGGUGAAACUCAGGUGCUCAACACCUGCCGUGCCGUUGAUACUGUUUUUCUGGAAUGCGGAUGCUGUGGGAGGAGUGUGUGGUGUAGCGGUGAAAUGCAUAGAUAUCACACAGAACACCGAUUGCGAAGGCAUCUCACCUACCCGUGAGUUACCCUUAAGCUCGAAAGUUUGCGGAUCGAACAGGAUUAAAUACCCUGGUAGUCCGCACUGUAAACGAUUAUCACUCGCUGUUGGCGAUAUACUGUCAUUGCCUAAGCGCCAGCGAUAAGUUAUCACCCUGGGGAGUACGUCGGCAACGAUGAUACUCAAACGAAUUGGCGGGG
rnacentral:rRNA from 1 species